UAAAAACAAGGGGGGGGAACGUUUUCGGAAUCUGGCGUAAAGGCUCGUAGCGGCCACUAAGUCACACGUGAAAUCCCUUAAAACAACGGGGAAUGCGUGUGAGAUGGAGGCUUGCUUUGGGAAAGGAAUGCGGAAUUCCAGGUGUAGCGGUGAAAUGCGUAGAUAUCUGGAGGAACACCGGUGGCCUCCGCGGCAUUCUGGACCAACACUGACGCUGAAGAGCGAAAGCCAGGGGGGCAAACGGGAUUAGAUACCCCGGAAGUCCUGGCCCUAAAC
rnacentral:rRNA from 1 species